AGUGAACGCUGGCGGUAGGCCUAACACAUGCAAGUCGAACGAGUGGCGGACGGGGGAGGAAUACAUCGGAAUAUCAUCUGUCGUGGGGGAUAACGGAGGGAAACUUACGCUAAUACCGCAUACGAUUGAAUGAGCCGAGUUCGGAUUAGCUAGUUGGCGGGGUAAAGGCCCACCACGGCGACGAUCCGUAGCUGGUCUGAGAGGAUGAUCAGCCACACUGGAACUGAGACACGGUCCAGACUCCUACGGGAGGCAGCAGUGGGGAAUAUUUGACAAUGGGCGAAAGCCUGAUCCAGCCAUACCGCGUGGGUGAAGAAGGCCUUCGGGUUGUAAAGCCCUUUUGUUGGGAAAGCGGUACCCAAAGAAUAAGCACCGGCUAACUUCGUGCCAGCAGCCGCGGUAAUUC
rnacentral:rRNA from 1 species